rnacentral:rRNA from 1 species
UACGUAGGGGGCAAGCGUUGUCCGGAAUCAUUGGGCGUAAAGCGCGUGUAGGCGGCUCGAUAAGUCUGCUGUGAAAGUCCAGGGCUCAACCCUGGAAAGCCGGUGGAAACUGUCGGGCUAGAGUCCGGAAGGGGCGAGUGGAAUUCCUGGUGUAGCGGUGAAAUGCGCAGAUAUCAGGAGGAACACCAAUGGCGAAGGCAGCUCGCUGGGACGGUACUGACGCUGAGACGCGAAAGCGUGGGGAGCAAACAGG